rfam:Neotoma lepida isolate 417 scaffold_0, whole genome shotgun sequence.
GGAGAGAUAGUUCAGCAGUUAAGAGCACUGGCUACUCUUCCAGAAGAUCUGGGUUCAAGUUCCAGUUUCCACA